CUUUCCAGGCGGUAUCCUUUGUGCAUGCCUACUGUACAUUUUCGACCUCUUUCCGAUGGAAUGAUCUAAGAUGAAAGUAAACUUUUUAAAUGUUUAAUCAUUCACCACUAGGCAAACCGUCAUAAUAGCAUUACAGUUCGCAUUAUUUCUGUAGUGUCUCUUAUGUAAAAAUGCUUUCAUUUCUGAUCUUGCAAUGAAGUGCUGUACUAACUCGCAUUAUGCAUAUUAGAAAACUGAUAAGUGAUUUGUCCGACAUUAUUCUGUUAAUUAGCGAUGAGCCAGUAUUGCACAGCUUGUUUUACGUAAUUUUAGAUAGCUGCUUGUAACCACUUAGAUUAUAUAGAAAUUAAGACAUAGAAACUUUUAUCAGAAUUACCAGAAAUAGUAGCCUUUUGCUAUUAGCUUCAUGUAGAGAUUUACCUGAGUAAAGUACCAAAGAAGUUAUCUGAGGUAUUGUUGAAGGAUGAUACAGAAUAUAUUUUCUAAAAAUCACGCUGAUUUAUGACACAUUACUCUGAAAUACACAUCUCAAGUCCUUAAAAGAAUAUAUGACAACUGUAAGAAGCCAUUUUAGAUAAGUAAUUUGAAACAUUCUUUUCUACUUCCAAAUGACUUUUUUCCUAUCCCUUAUUUUUGAAAUGUUUAUUCAAUAAAUAUGUAUACAGAACUGAUGAAAUAAUUAAAUCAAUAAACGGCAUAUCCUGCCCUGAAGUUUUUUGUUGUUUUGUCAUUGGGAUCUGGUGUUAUAUUUCAAUCUGGGAGGAGAAAUAGUUACAUGUUACAAAUUCUUAACACUACAAAAUGAAAAGUUAAUAUCCACUCAUUUCAAGUGUAUAUGAAAUAUUUAUUAAAAUACACCAAACCCUAGGUCACACAGAAAGUCCACAAAUUUAGAGGUUUUAAAGGUUGAUCCUGGUAAAAUUACACUAGAAAUUGGUAACAGAACAUUCACAAAAAGAAGAAAGAAAAUCUCGCAUGGAAGAACCAGACUGGAGGUUUUUGCCUACCACUAGGUAGCUGGAAUGAUGAGCAUUAGAAAACAGUGAGGCUACUUAUAAACAAUAAUACAUUUAUUUAUUGCUUUAUCCUACAACAUACAUAACACAGUUUUGUUUCAGAAUUACAAUACCAAUAUCCUCAUAGCAGUAAAACUA
rnacentral:lncRNA from 10 species